GGCUGCCAUUUUGAAAUCUCGUUAUUGUGAAAUAAAACGCCCCGUGUAGCAGCGUUAUUUUGAGAGAAAACCCUUCUCUCAAAAUAACUGUUACUCCUCAUACAAUGAGGUUUAACAGUUAUUUCGAGAGAAGGGUUUUCUCUCGAAAUAACGCUGCUACAUGGGGCGUUUUCGCAAUAAUGUGAUUUCAAAAUGACAGCC
rnacentral:pre_miRNA from 1 species